rnacentral:rRNA from 1 species
AUGGCGGGUCCGGCGGAGAGGAAGAUGAAGGUGUGGGAGCUGGUGCUGCGGUGCCUCGUCGGCGGCUUCGGCGCGGUGGCGGCGGCGCUGGUGGUCACCGACAGCCAGACCAGGACCUUCUUCUCCCUCGAGCGGAGGGCCAAGUACACCGACAUGAAGGCUCUGGUGCUCCUGGUGGCCGCCAACGGCGCUGCCGUCGUGUACAGUCUACUGCAGGCGGCGCGCUGUGCCGUGGCGAUGGCGAGGGGAGGCGGCGCGCUGGUCAUGAGCAGAAGGGUGCUCGCCUGGUCGGUCUUCUCCGGCGACCAGCUGCUGGCGUACGCGAUGCUGGCCGCGACGGCGGCGGCGCUGCAGUCGUCGCUGCUCGGGAAGCUCGGGCAGCCGGAGCUGCAGUGGAUGGGGAUCUGCGGCCUCUACGGCGCCUUCUGUAGGCAGGUCGGCGCGGGCAUCGCGUGCGCCGUCGUCGCCGGACUCGCCGCCGUGCUCCUCGCAUCCUUCUCCGCGUUCAACCUGUUCCGCCUCUACGGCGGCAACAAGGGGAGCAAUAGUACUAGAAACGGCGCAACGUGGUACUAG